GUUGAAAACACCGGUUCCCGUACGAUCACUGAAGUUAAGAAAAGUUGAGCCUAUUCAGUACUUAAAUGGGUGACAGUUUUUUGGGAAUACCAGGUUCUGUAUG